CCCAGACUUCCCAACAUGCACCGCGACACCAGGACAAGGCCACUUACAGUAGAAACUGCCUGAGGGAGGAUACAAUACGCAGACGUAUUCACGCCAACAGUGUUUCAUUUUACUGCACAUGAAGCUUGAAUUACCAACGAUUCUGACGAGGACGUUCCUUUAGUCUCACCAUGAAUCUGAACUGAAGGCACAGGAAGCUACUGUCACACGUCCCAACGCGUGUUGGAGAGGUUGCAGGAUGUGCGGCAGUAACGUACGGCAUCGGGCCUGCAGCCUGUGACAGUUAUAUGAGCGGACUGAUGGACGGCUCAGCUGUCAGGAAGGCACAGAACCACCAGCCUUGGACCGGGCUGGGGUGCAGGCAGGGCCCGGCCAUAUAAGGCCGCGCUCCCAGGGGAACUCCUCCAUGCUCCCUGCAAAGAAUCCUCCAAACCUGCCGCUCACACAAAGGUCGGACUGGGAUUGAGGUCAGGAGGUCAAAAGCUUGUAAACGUUCCUCCUCUGUGACAUCAGCUCCGCAGCAACAGGUCAGAUGAUAAUGAAAGGUACGAGAAGUAACGAAGCUUUUGCGCUGAACAAAGUUAUAGUUGCUGCUUAUUUAAGUUAGAAGGUUUUUUAACACAUCUGGACUAGACUGAGCAGCGAAGCACGUGCUGUUACUCUUUCACAUUCGUUACUGCUGCAGCAGCAGAUGGUUUGAAGACGUGGGCUCGUCUGACCACAGGAUGAAGAACUCAGCAGAGUCCAAAUGCCAGAGACAUAACAUUAGAAAAUGAUUGAUUGAUAAGGUCUUUGGCUUUUCAUAUUUAACCCUGGGAUCCUGGCGACUUCACACCUGCUCGUGGUGCGAGCUCUGUGUCGACCACAGACCUCAACUGUGAGCAGUGUCAGUAGGCGACGGCUGACACUCGAAUCCAAACUGCAUCUAACACAUACAAAGAGUUAGUACUGGAUCAUUUUCAGAUCUUAAUCUCAGUUAUUACACACAUUGUACUCAUUCACACUUUGGCGAGUCUCGACGAAGCGAUGGAAGCGGGGACGAGCAGACUGACAGCUGAGUCCAUGCAAUUCAAUCGGGAGGACUGGAAUUGGAGAUCGGAGGCGCCACUAAAGAUAGAAGUCCACGGCUCACCCCUAACACCCGCAGGUCCACCUUCAACCUCACGAGUUCCACUGGGGGCUCGCGUUUCAUUUGUGUUUACCAGCCGCGUCUUGUGCUCGCCACAGUGGGUGAACCAGCAGCCGUGCGGUUCCCACAGAACCCGGCCUUCGGGUUCGCUUUUUAAUAAAUGAUCCUCAACACGGACCUGGUUCCACUCAGAACUCAGGCUGUGGACUCGCUAAGCUGCUGGCGUGAGACUCCUCCUGCUCUGACUGGGAACUGAAACGUCUGUGAGGGUUCUGGUGAAGUCUAGGGAAGGAAUGAAAGUUCUGGAUCCGGGCUGUGAUGUAAAUGGAAGUUGCACAGUUGUUCCUGGCGUCGCCCACGUGUGAAUGUGUGAGGGCCCAAAGGCCUUCGCUGUGAACGAGCCUCUGGUUUCAGAGACAAGGCGUUAAACAUCCAUCCAACGCCUCCCAGGCGUCACCGGCUGCUCACGGACAGCGUCCUGUCCCCUCACACAGCGAUCACACACUAACUCGUCCAUAUUCAGACAAUAUCAUGACAUUUUAUACGCACUAAAGCCACAAACAUAUUCAGCAUGUUCCUGCUUACAUAACUGUCCCAGGGCAGCUGUGUGUGUGUGUGUGUGUGUGUGAGUGUGUGAGUGUGUGUGUGUGUGUGAGUGUGUGUGUGUGUGUGUGUGUGAGUGUGUGUGUGUGUGUGUGUGUGAGU